UGGUAGUGUAUUGGACAACCAUGGCAGUCACGGGUAACGGAGAAUUAGGGUUCGAUUCCGGAGAGGGAGCCUGAGAAACGGCUACCACAUCUAAGGAAGGCAGCAGGCGCGUAAAUUACCCAAUCCCAAUUCGGGGAGGUAGUGACAAGAAAUAGCAACUCGUGCGGGUUUCCGUUACGGGAUUGCAAUGAGAUAAGUCCAAAUCCGUAAACGAUUAACAAUUGGAGGGCAAGUCUGGUGCCAGCAGCCGCGGUAAUUCCAGCUCCAAUAGCGUAUACUUAAGUUGUUGCAGUUAAAAAGCUCGUAGUUGAAAUUCGAGUCAGUUACUAGUUGGCUUUUCGUCAGUUAGUUAAUUGAUUCUCCGUCUACAAUCCCUUUUGCGCUUUAGGGUUGCAGCUGGGCGAGUAGACAAUUUACCUUGAAAAAAUUAGAGUGUUCCAGGCAGGUCUUCGCCGGAAUACAUUAGCAUGGAAUAAUGGAAUAGGACUUGGGUCUUUUGUUGGUUUUAGGACUUGAGUAAUGAUUAAUAGGGACAGAUGGGGGCAUUAGUAUUUAAUUGUCAGAGGUGAAAUUCUUGGAUUUAUUAAAGACUAACUUAUGCGAAAGCAUUUGCCAAGGAUGUUUUCAUUAAUCAAGAACGAAAGGGGAUCAAAGACAAUCAGA
rnacentral:rRNA from 1 species